rnacentral:rRNA from 1 species
UCAUCAUGCCCUUAUGACCUGGGCUACACACGUGCUACAAUGGGCGGUACAAAGGGUCGCGAACCCGCGAGGGGGAGCCAAUCCCAAAAAGCCGCUCUCAGUUCGGAUUGCAGGCUGCAACUCGCCUGCAUGAAGCCGGAAUCGCUAGUAAUCGCGGAUCAGCAUGCCGCGGUGAAUACGUUCCCGGGCCUU